ACUUAAAUUGAAGAGUUUGAUCAUGGCUCAGAUUGAACGCUGGCGGCAGGCCUAACACAUGCAAGUCGAGCGGUAGCACAGAGAGCUUGCUCUCGGGUGACGAGCGGCGGACGGGUGAGUAAUGUCUGGGAAACUGCCUGAUGGAGGGGGAUAACUACUGGAAACGGUAGCUAAUACCGCAUAACGUCGCAAGACCAAAGUGGGGGACCUUCGGGCCUCAUGCCAUCAGAUGUGCCCAGAUGGGAUUAGCUAGUAGGUGGGGUAACGGCUCACCUAGGCGACGAUCCCUAGCUGGUCUGAGAGGA
rnacentral:rRNA from 2 species